AACGAACGCUGGCGGCAGGCUUAACACAUGCAAGUCGAGCGCCUCGCCAGUGGAGCGGCCGACGGGUGAGUAACGCGUGGGAACGUACCCUUAUCUUCGUAAUAGCCCUGGGAUACUGGAAGUAAUACCGAAUGUGCCCUUAGGGGGAAAGAUUUAUCGGAUAAGGAUCGGCCCGCGUGGGAUUCGCUCGUUGGUGGGGUAAAGGCGUACCAAGGCGACGAUCCAUAGCUGGUCUGAGAGGAUGAUCAGCCACAUUGGGACUGAGACACGGCCCAAACUCCUACGGGAGGCAGCAGUGGGGAAUAUUGGACAAUGGGCGCAAGCCUGAUCCAGCCAUGCCGCGUGAGUGAUGAAGGCCUUAGGGAUGUAAAGCUCUUUCACCGGAGAAGAUAAUGACGGUAUCCGGAGAAGAAGCCCCGGCUAACUUCGUG
rnacentral:rRNA from 1 species